UACUCCUUCGGGAGGCAGCAGUAGGGAAUCUUCCACAAUGGACGCAAGUCUGAUGGAGCAACGCCGCGUGAGUGAAGAAGGUUUUCGGAUCGUAAAGCUCUGUUGUUGGUGAAGAAGGAUAGAGGCAGUAACUGGUCUUUCUUGACGGUAAUCAACCAGAAUACG
rnacentral:rRNA from 1 species